rnacentral:ncRNA from 1 species
GGAGCCUGCGGCUUAAUUUGACUCAACACGGGGAAACUCACCCGGCCCGGACACAGUAAGGAUUGACAGAUUGAGAGCUCUUUCUUGAUUCUGUGGGUGGUGGUGCAUGGCCGUUCUUAGUUGGUGGAGCGAUUUGUCUGGCUAAUCCCGAUAACGAACGAGACUCUGGCAUGCUAACUAGUUCGGCGAUCCCGUGCGAUCGGCCGCAACUUCUUAGAGGGACAGCCGGCAGUAAGCCGGACGAGAUGGAGCAAUAACAGGUCUGUGAUGCCCUUAGAUGUCCGGGGCCGCACGCGCGCUAC